UAGAGUUUGAUCAUGGCUCAGAACGAACGCUGGCGGCAGGCCUAACACAUGCAAGUCGAACGCCCCGCAAGGGGAGUGGCAGACGGGUGAGUAACGCGUGGGAACCUACCUAGAGGUGCGGAAUAGCCCAGGGAAACUUGGAGUAAUACCGCAUAAGCCCGCAAGGGGAAAGAUUUAUCGCCUUUAGAUGGGCCCGCGUCGGAUUAGCUAGUUGGUGAGGUAAUGGCUCACCAAGGCGACGAUCCGUAGCUGGUUUGAGAGAAUGACCAGCCACACUGGGACUGAGACACGGCCCAGACUCCUACGGGAGGCAGCAGUGGGGAAUCUUGGACAAUGGGCGCAAGCCUGAUCCAGCCAUGCCGCGUGAGUGACGAAGGCCUUAGGGUUGUAAAGCUCUUUUGGCGGGGACGAUAAUGACGGUACCCGCAGAAUAAGUCCCGGCUAACUUCGUGCCAGCAGCCGCGGUAAUACGAAGGGGACUAGCGUUGUUCGGAAUUACUGGGCGUAAAGCGCACGUAGGCGGAUUUGUUAGUCAGGGGUGAAAUCCCGGGGCUCAACCUCGGAACUGCCCUUGAUACUGCAAGUCUUGAGUCCGGAAGAGGUGAGUGGAAUUCCUAGUGUAGAGGUGAAAUUCGUAGAUAUUAGGAGAACACCAGUGGCGAAGCGGCUCACUGGUCCGGUACUGACGCUGAGUGCGAAAGCGUGGGGAGCAACAGGAUUAAAUAC
rnacentral:rRNA from 1 species